AUCUAUACAUAUAAUAAAAUCGUAGAAAAGUGCUGUCUGUACAUUGAAAAUAAAAAUAAAAAAAAUAGCAGGGGUUAUUGUUAUGUCGAUGUCGAACCCAAAAAUGUAAUUAACUUUUUUUUUGUCUGUUUGUCUGUUUGUCUGUUCGUCUGUGCGCGCUAAUCUCAGAAACGGCUGAUCCGAGUUGGAUGCGGUUUUCACGAAUAUAUUGUGGGAUGCUUAAAUUUACAUUUAGUGUUUGUUUCAUGUCAAUCGGUUCAUAAAUAAAAAAGUUAUGUCAAAUUAAAGAAUCACGUCGAACAUUCUAUGCUUAUACCAUUAAUCUCCGCAACUAUUUGACGGAUUUGGUUGAAAUUUGGUACAGAUAUAGUUUAGAACCUUAGAAAGGACAUAGAUAUAUUUUUAUUUCAAAAAUCAAAAAAUAAAAAUAAGAAAUAAAUUAUUUAUAAAUAAUUCUAUGUCGAUCGUUACACGACUUCGGUUCAUGUUAUUGUUUUAAUUCAUCGAAAAAAGUAAAUAAAUAGUAAAAAGGUAUGAAAAAAAUAAUAUCAAUAUAAUAAAACAUUUAGUACAAAGAAAAUGCUCUAACGGAGUAUAGAUAAUUCUAUGUCGAUCGUUACACGACUUCGGUUCAUGUUAUUGUUUUAAUUCAUCGAAAAAAAGUAAAUAAAUAGUAAAAAGGUAUGAAAAAAAUAAUAUCAAUAUAAUUAAACUUUUAGUACAAAGAAAAUGCCCGAACGGAGUAUAAAUAAAUAAUCCAAGUUGUCUUUAUCCUCGAUAGAUGGCGUUGGGAUCGAAAUAGAUCGCGCUAUGGUUUCGUUACAUUCAUUUGGUUGGGUAUCGGCCGAGCGCUUCGGUACUAUCGUAGAAAAAGUGUAUUAUCAGUCGUAUGAUUAUAUUAUUUGUCUGUAGUGGUCCUGCUGUUUCGUAUAUUCUAAAUUGGUUUCGUUGUAUUUGUCAAUUAAUAAGUUUAUUUGUUGGGUUUUCCUGGUUUUUUGGUUAAACUAUUUAACGUAGGUUUAGUUUGAUAUCGAUUAUUAGUAGUUACUGUAGUUAGUUUUUUUUAAUAAAAUUGUAAGUCUAAUUUAUAAAUUAAUUAGAUUAGAUUUAAGUCGUUUCUUUUAAAUUAUUUAGUUUAAGCUUGGUUAUUAUAGCAUAAAGGAUAGGUUCUAAUAUAAUUUCUUUUUUAAUUGUUAUUAAUUCGUAAUUCGUAGCUUUCUUUAGUUUUAAGUUAGUUUAAGUCCGUUUUUAAACUAUUUUUUCAAUGCCCUAAGUGAGUAUACAUCUAUUAAAAUCAAACGCAGAGCUCAUUAUGUUGAUUUUUGAAGAGUUCCCUGGAAUAUCUUC